CACAAAUAGACAUAUUCAUGCAGCAGACAAAGGCAGUUUAAAUUUCACUGUCCACUGAGGACAUCAACCCUUCUGAACUGUCACAUUCAACAGGAUCAAGAGAGGUCAGGUCAUCAGCAAUUUAGGUCACUGCCCUUCCACCAGCUGGAUCUCCUGGCCUUUAACAAGGUGUCCAUGCCGGGGACCAAGCAGCAGCAGCUGCUGCAGAAGCAGUUCAUCUGCCCUUUGAACAGUUCCUGACACAUCUCCAUAAAAGUCAAGCCAGAUGAUUUGUCUCUCCAGAUUGCCAAUUUCAGCCAAAAAACCUAAUCAUGGCUGCAAUGUGCACAUCAUUAACACUAUCAAUGCCACCUGCAGGUGUUAGUAAUAUGCUUGAGCUCUUUUAAGAUUUGUAGCAGAAUAAGAGGAAAGAUUUGUAAUAUUACUUCACCUUGCAGGUCGGGCCAACUGCCUCUUAUUAUUACAGAUAUAAUAACUUAAAAAAAUUCUUUGUAGCUAUAUAAUUAUAUAUGGCUGGUUAAUCUUGCAAAAGCAGUAUAAUCAUUAUCUGGGAUGCAUUGAAGGUGCUCCUGCUACAUAUCUUAUCUGAUAAUUUCAAUUCCAAGCCUACCUGAGCCUUUUUCAUUAGGUUGCAUUUAGAUUAUCAUUUGUGGUUUUUUUAAAAUUUUCUAAAACUCUAGGUGACAUUUCUAGUGUUUAAUAAAAAUAAUCAACUUCCAUAAAAUCAAAGGUCUAAUUUCCAGUUAGCACCUAAUGUGUACAUGUACGUAUGUAUGCAUGCACAUAUAUGUUACAUGAUAUCUCAUGAUUACAUUUUUCUAGAAUUACAUUAUUCUAGAAUUAGAAUGGAUGCAAAAAUUUCAUUUUGUGUUCUAGUUCACACAUUUUAUCUGUUUUAGAAAUAUUUCUCAAAAUAGAGACUCCCUGAAGGCUCUUUAAAGCCAAAUUUCUUGGAAUAAAGAGGAGAUGUAACUUUCUAACUAGCUUAUUUUGGCUCAGGGUUUUUUUGAGGCAGAUGUUAAAAAUGAAGAGGCAAGUCUGUUCUGGGCCUCAGUGUAGAAAUUAUUCACUGCAGCAGACAUAGUCCUUUCAAUUUUACUGCCAGUUAUGAGCUUGUGAGUAUCACACCACAGUGCCCUGAUUAGUUUUUGUUUUCACUCCCUCAUGAUUAUUGGUAGGACUGGAACAGAAUGAUAAGGAUAUUCUUUCUGAUAAAUCUGAUUUUGAAAGACAGCUCACUUUCUAUUUCUUUGUUCACUUGGUUUUGUUAAAUUAAUCUAGCUAUUAGCUCUAUCAGUCCUUAUAAGAACUCAUCUGCCUCACCCCUUAUUGUCUUCAGGAUGGUUUAUUUCUCACAGAUCUUCUUUAACACUGUCUUGCCUGAGGUCUGAAAUACAUGAGUAAAGCUCAGUGUUAUUGAAGGAGUAAUUAAUCUGUAUAAAUAGAUUUUUUCCCUUUCUGUGCACCUUGUGUACCUUUUAAACCUGAAUAUGGGUAUGUUCCAAAUAUUUUGUCCUUCAUUUUAUUUGCAAGCCCAAAAUCUAAGAACCAUUUCUUGAAUUUUCUAUUUUUUUGAUGACAUAUAUUUUUAAAUAGACUGAAGUCUGUGAAAGCUGUAGAACAUACUGGAUGUAAACAAGCCAGUUUCCUCUGAGAGCCUCCUAGUUCUUUGUAAUCUCUAGUUGUGCUUGCAUAUAAAAUGCCCAGUAAUCAAAAAGUUAUUAACAAUAUGACCUUGAAGAUGUCCCUUUGACUCUGGGCAAAGAGGGGGAGUGGAGUUAUUAUUUAAUGGGUAGCAAUUUUAAUUUGCCUAAGAUCAUGUGACAGAGACAAUGGCUGAGCUUGUGGAUAGAGUUCUAGUCUCAUCUAAGGUGAUAAAAUUUGAUUUAUCAAAUCUACUCCAGCACAACCAAAGCUUCAGCCCUGACUGAUGGCAUAGUAGAUUAAUUACAAGAGAACCCAGUGAACUAAUGUGUGAUGGUGUUUCAAUAAUUUUCCUCAAUCAGGGAAUUUUUAUAUCAUGCCCUAAUACUGUUUGAAAAAAUAGCAAUCACCGUGGUGCUCAUUAUAAUAAACCAGAUUACCAGGUUGGUGUUCUAACUUACACAAACAAGUUGUUCUACACUGAGUUUUGUAUGAAACUUGUGUCUUUAUAUACCUGAAAA